AGCGGAGUAGGGCAGCUCGGUCAGCCCGCGUGGCUCAUAACCACGAAGUCGCAGGUUCGAAUCCUGCCUCCGCCACGA
rnacentral:tRNA from 4 species